UACGUAGGGCGCAAGCGUUAUCCGGAAUUAUUGGGCGUAAAGAGCUCGUAGGCGGUCUGUCGCGUCUGCUGUGAAAACUCAGGGCUUAACCCUGAGCUUGCAGUGGGUACGGGCAGACGUAGAGUGCGGUAGGGGAGACUGGAAGUUCCUGGUGUAGCGGUGAAAUGCGCAGAUAGUCAGGAGGAACACCGGUGGCGAAGGCGGGUCUCUGGGCCGUAA
rnacentral:rRNA from 1 species